rnacentral:misc_RNA from 1 species
AAGUCGUAACAAGGUUUCCGUAGGUGAACCUGCGGAAGGAUCAUUAAUGAAAUAAUAAUUUUUUGGGGAUUUCCCUGAAAAAUAAUUCACCUUUUGUGCACUGUUAAAAGAUAUGCUUUGGUUAGAGCUUUGAUUUUCAUUUUUUUGAAAUCAACUUCUUGCUGACUCUAUCCUAUUAUAUGGGACAGUUGGCUAUGAAGCGGCCUACCAAGGUUUUUUAUCAAACACAUUUAAUUUAUCUGACCUAAACUACUAUAAUAAAAUCAUAACUUUCAACAACGGAUCUCUUGGCUCUC